CGGACGGGUGAGUAACACGUGGAUAACCUACUUAUAAGACUGGGAUAACUUCGGGAAACCGGAGCUAAUACCGGAUAAUAUAUUGAACCGCAUGGUUCAAUAGUGAAAGACGGUUUUGCUGUCACUUAUAGAUGGAUCCGCGCCGCAUUAGCUAGUUGGUAAGGUAACGGCUUACCAAGGCAACGAUGCGUAGCCGACCUGAGAGGGUGAUCGGCCACACUGGAACUGAGACACGGUCCAGACUCCUACGGGAGGCAGCAGCU
rnacentral:rRNA from 1 species